GGCGUGAGAACCAGGUCAGAGUCAUGUGCUGGUGUGAGAACCAGACUGGGAGCAGGUGUCGGCUUCAGCCGAGGAGCAGGUGUCGGCUUCAGCCGAGGAGCAGGUGUCGGCUUCAGCCGAGGAGCAGGUGUCGGCUUCAGCCGAGGAGCAGGUGUCGGCUUCAGCCGAGGAGCAGGUGUCGGCUUCAGCCGAGGAGCAGGCACAGGGGUCUGCCGAGGAGAACUAGGGGACUGGCUGUGAGCAGGACUAGGACUAUGAUGAGUGAUAAGACAAACACUAGGACUCGGGCAAGGACUUGAGAGAGGACCAGGACUUACAAUCACACUAGUGCUUUGAGAAGGGCUUGGGCAACGACCAGGACUUACAGUCAUACCAGGGCUUGGGCAAGAACUAGGACAAACGGUCAAACUAGGGCUUGGGCAAGGACUGGGACUAACAAUCAAACUGGUGCUCGGGCAAGGACUAGGACAAAGACUAGGACUUACAGUAACACUGGGGCUCGGACAAGAACUUGGGUAAGGACUAGGGUUCGGACUAAGACCACGAGGGGAAUCAGUACUAAUAUUACAAAGGCAAGAAACAAGACUCGGGACCGGACUCGAAACAGGACUCGGACUACGGAUCAGUCUACGAGUGGAACUAGGACUACGACGACUACGAGAAAGACUAGGACUACAACUAGAAUCAGAACGGAAACUCGGACCAGGACUUGGACUACGACUCAGUCUACAAGUCGGUCUACGAGUAGGACUAGAGCAUGGGCUACGAAGAAGGCUGGGACUCGAACUCUGAGAGAGACUGUGACUAAAACUAGAACUAGGGCACGGACGGAACACAGGUGGAGGAGGUCUAAGAGGGCGUGACUUGACCGGGGAGAACACCGGUGGAGGAGGUCUAGGAGGCCGUAGUGGCUUAACAGGUUUACCAGGGGUGAACACCGGUGGUGGAGGUCUAGGAGGCUUAGUAGUAAUACUGGCCCUCCCCUCAAGACCCGGAUUCCAGACGGGGCCCAGUUGGACAGAGGCUGACCGUAAGGGCGGGCGGUGGGAGGUUUGGAGGAGGGCAGGCUCCUCCCCUCUAAAAUGUUCAAAAUCCUCACUAAAUGAGGUGGAAAAAGGCACGGAUUCAGGCGGAGAACGAGACUUGAGAGGGGGGGAAGCGGGUAUGGGGGGUGAAGACUGACUAGAGUCAUAGUAGUGGCGGAAAAUGUCCUGGUAAUAAUUAAUUAUAUUAUUAAAGUCAUUGUUGGGGGUGUGACUGGGCUUGGAUGUGCUACAAUUAUCCUUGAAAAUCUUCUUAUAUAAAAUUAGGUCCUUGGGUGGAAUGGGAGAAAGUUCAUCUUCAAAAAACUCCUUGUCACUAAGGUCAAAAAAAUGUGCAGAGGAAUCCACUAAGGUGUUAACGGUGACGUCAUAGGGGGGCGUGAACGGAGUGACGUCACUGUGAGUGACAGGGAAGGCGGAAGAUGGUGGGAUGCUAAUGGGAAUAACAACAUGGUGACUGGGAACGGGAGAAGUGAACAAAGUACCAACCCGUAGAGAAGAGUCCUGGGUUGGAGCGGAGGAGUACUUGGUCGGGUAUGCUGCUUGUCGGGAACGGUGUCCUGGAGGAUCCAGCGCGAGGUGACGCGUUUCUGCUCGCCAGUUUCUGUUACGUUUGCGCGGCAUCGUGGAUGCGCGGGGAGUGUCGCCUCUCGAUGCGCAGGAUCACAGCAGGCAGGAAUGAAGGGUAGCGGGGGGUGCUUGAGCCUUUCUCAGCUGCAUUCGGGCAGUACAACCUGGACAAGUGGUCAUCUCAUCGCAGGACCAACAUAGAUACUGACAAUAUUCACAGACUAGGGCCAAUUUAGUGUUGCCAAUCAACCUAUCCCCAGGUGCAUGUCUUUGGAGGUGUGGGGAAGCCGGAAUACCCAGAGGGAACCCACGCAGUCACGGAGAGAACAUGCACACUCCACACAGAAAGAUUAGGAGCCCAGGAUUGCACCCAGGAACUUCGUAUUAUGAGGACAUCUGGAAGCUGUUCAUAGGAGGGGGGUACUGUCACGGCGCUGGCUCGAACCCACUUUUCUCCGGCAGCUGGGUCUGCCAGCACCUCUGUUGGCAGUGCGCUGAGACACACCUCUGCUCGCGCUGGCCGCGUCAAACCCACAUGCCGGCAAGGCUGUGGGCGAUCAGCACUCUGCACACCUGGACUGAUGUGGUUGGGGCUGUAUAAACACCAGUGUAUCCAAGGAUCCUGGCCGGAAUUUAGUCUUCUGUACCCUAGUAAGCACCCCUUGUCUAGCUUCUAUCCUGUGUACGAGUUUCUUCUGUGAUCCCUGUUGUUCCCCUCUGGAUUCUGGACUUCCUCCAUUCAUCCUCGACCUUCGCUUAGACACAGACCUCAUUCUCCCUGACUAUCUGCACCUCCUCAUUCAACAUUUGGUAAAACACACAAAAUUUUUGCAAAAUACAAUUUUUUUUUUUUAACAAAUUAAUAUUGAUUGUAACAAUGAUACUGAUUUUCAUUUCAGCUUCUUCCUGACACAAAAUCCUUAACCCUAAAAAAAUUAAAAAAAAUAAAUUAUACUGUUUGUUUUUACUGGUUUCUAGUUAAUAGUUGAGUAGUUG